GAUGGACGCUGGCGGCGUGCCUAAUACAUGCAAGUCGAGCGAACAGACGAGGAGCUUGCUCCUCUGACGUUAGCGGCGGACGGGUGAGUAACACGUGGAUAACCUACCUAUAAGACUGGGAUAACUUCGGGAAACCGGAGCUAAUACCGGAUAAUAUAUUGAACCGCAUGGUUCAAUAGUGAAAGACGGUUUUGCUGUCACUUCUAGAUGGAUCCACGCCGCAUUAGCUAGUUGGUAAGGUAACGGCUUACCAAGGCAACGAUGCGUAGCCGACCUGAGAGGGUGAUCGGCCACACUGGAACUGAGACACGGUCCAGACUCCUACGGGAGGCAGCAGUAGGGAAUCUUCCGCAAUGGGCGAAAGCCUGACGGAGCAACGCCGCGUGAGUGAUGAAGGUCUUCGGAUCGUAAAACUCUGUUAUUAGGGAAGAACAAAUGUGUAAGUAACUAUGCACGUCUUGACGGUACCUAAUCAGAAAGCCACGGCUAACUACGUG
rnacentral:rRNA from 1 species